UUCUGCAUCAUUGCUCAAUCAAGUAUGGCUUUAUUCUGGAUUCUUCUGAAGUAUUGCUGAUCUUAACUUUCAAUAGUUUCCUGUAACCCGUUUUCUGACCCAUCACUUAGUUCUUUGUCAGCACAUCUGAUUUAUAUUGAGAAACUUUCUAAUGAGUUGAAUUUGCAUUCCUCUGGAAAAUCGAAGUUUUCUUCUACUUCUAACUGUUUAUUAAAGCACUAUGCUGCUUGCAUGGAAAAUAACUAGCUGAUGACUGAGUUAUUAUUCUGGCCAAAAUUCUGCAAGCCCAAGAUGCCAGACAAAUCACACCUAUUUUAAACAUCUUCUUGGCGUUGAAUUCAUUAUUUUGGUGAUUUUUUAUUUUUAUUUUUUUGCAUUCAUGAUUCGCAUCAAAUAUCAUUUUUGUUAUGCUCUGAAAAACUGUAGUUUUUUUUUUCUUGAGUGCUUCGCUUUUCUGCUAACUUAAGUGUGGUUACAGAAUCUAAUAUGGAUCUUAGCUUAACAUGGUUCUUUAAAUUUCAGGUUGAUCGUCUUCGCCAAGAAACAUUACAGCAGAUGUCUUGUAUCCUAACAACUUGCCAGGCUGCUCGAGACUUGCUUGCACUAGGAGAGUACUUCCAAUGCUUAAGAGUUUAGAGUUCAAUUUGGGCCACCUGUCCUCGCAAGCCUGCCUAAUCUUAUACCAGAAAAAAUCAACAAGCUUAAUCUCUCCGGAAGAUCAUCAUUGCUGGAACUUCGUUUCCCAAUCAAAGUUAACUCUGGACAUUGUUGUUACAAACAUAAUCUGCAUACUUUAAAUUGCUGACAUUUUUGAAGCAGCCACAAGUGUCCUGAGAAAUUGUAAAUAUAAAUAGUCUUAUUACCUGGACGAAGUUAGGUUUGUAAGUGAACCAAUUUUCGAUGCAUGAUGUUCAUUUUUAUCAACUUUUAAAGCAUAUAUUUAGGGUUUAUGUUUUUGGGGUAUCGUUGCAAUGUUCUUGUGUAAAUUUUUACAGGCCAACAAUCUUCGUACUCCAUUUGUUGU